rnacentral:rRNA from 1 species
CGGCGGCUCCUUCCUUACGGUUAGGUCACCGACUUCAGGNGCUUCCAACUCCCAUGGUGUGACGGGCGGUGUGUACAAGGCCCGGGAACGUAUUCACCGCGACAUUCUGAUUCGCGAUUACUAGCGAUUCCAGCUUCAUGUAGUCGAGUUGCAGACUACAAUCCGAACUGGGACUGGGUUUUUGUGAUUUGCUCGACGUCGCCGNUUUGCAUCACUUUGUUACCAGCCAUUGUAGCACGUGUGUAGCCCAAGACAUAAGGGGCAUGAUGAUUUGACGUCAUCCCCACCUUCCUCCGUGUUAUCCACGGCAGUCUCCUUAGAGUGCCCAACUGAAUGAUGGCUACUAAGAAUAGGGGUUGCGCUCGUUGCGGGACUUAACCCAACAUCUCACGACACGAGCUGACGACAACCAUGCACCACCUGUCACCUUUGCUCCGAAGAGAGUGUAUCUCUACACCGGUCAGAGNGAUGUCAAGCCUUGUAGGUCUUNNNGUUGCUUCGAAUUAAACCACAUGCUCACG